GCUUACAUGGAGGAACCUGUGUGUAUCGUAGAACCUACCAGAGAUCCUACAGAUGUUCCUGCCCUAUGGGAUAUAGUGGACAGCACUGUGAAAGAGACUUGCUAGCUAAAUGCUACAAAGAUAGGGGCCAGGACUACAGAGGAACUGCAUCCAAAACUACUAACAACUAUAACUGCAUGCAGUGGGACUCUCCACUCUUGAAAAAUCAUUAUUUCAAUGAAAACAUGAAUGAUGCAUUAAAGCAUGGUCUAGGCAAGCACAACUACUGCAGAAACCCAGAGAAUGGAAUGAGACCAUGGUGUUACUACCGGGGACCCAAAGGGGUUUCAACUAUGUUUUGUCAGAUCCCAAAAUGUGAACAGGAAGAGACA